rnacentral:rRNA from 1 species
AUUGAACGCUGGCGGCAGGCCUAACACAUGCAAGUCGAGCGGAUGAAGGGAGCUUGCUCCUGGAUCCAGCGGCGGACGGGUGAGUAAUGCCUAGGAAUCUGCCUGGCAGUGGGGGAUAACGUCCGGAAACGGGCGCUAAUACCGCAUACGUCCUGCGGGAGAAGGUGGGGGAUCUUCGGACCUCACGCUAUCAGAUGAGCCUAGGUCGGAUUAGCUAGUUGGUGGGGUAAAGGCCUACCAAGGCGACGAUCCGUAACUGGCCUGAGAGGAGGGUUAGUCACACUGGAACUGGGACACGCUCCAGACUCCUACGGGAGGCAGCAGUGGGGAAUGUUAGGCAGUGGGCGGAAGCCUGGUCCAGCCAUGCCACGUGUGUGAAGAAGGUCUUCGGAUUGUAAAGCACGUUAAGUUGGGGGGAAGGGCAGUAAGUUAAUACCUUGCUGUUUUGACGUUACCAACAGAAUAAGCACCGGCUAACUUCGUG